rnacentral:tRNA from 1 species
GGAGAAGUGGCUGAGUGGUCUAAGGCACCGCACUCGAAAUGCGGCAAGGGAGCAAUUCCUUCGUGAGUUCAAAUCUCACCUUCUCCG